rnacentral:rRNA from 1 species
AUCUAUGACCAUACCACCCUGAACACACCCAAUCUUGUCUGAUCUCUGAAGCUAAGCAGGGUCAGCUUUGGUUAGCACUUGGAUGGGAAAAAAUUGCAAAUUCAUUAGUGUAUAGAAA